rnacentral:rRNA from 1 species
GCUAAACGCGAAGAACCUUACCGGGGCUUGACAUCUUUCUGACCGCCUGGGAAACCAGGUCUUCUUCCUUCGGGAAGACGGAAAGACAGGUGGUGCAUGGUUGUCGUCAGCUCGUGUCGUGAGAUGUUGGGCUAAGUCCCACAACGAGCGCAACCCUUGUCCUUAUUUGCCAGCCUGUUUACAGGCGUACUUUAAGGAGACUGCCGUAGAUAAUACGGAGGAAGGUGGGGAUGACGUCAAGUCAUCAUGGCCCUUACGGCCAGGGCUACACACGUACUACAAUGGCGGUGACAGAGGGCAGCUAGACCGCGAGGUCAUGCUAAUCCCAAAAAGCCGUCUCAGUUCGGAUUGCACUCUGCAACUCGGGUGCAUGAAGUCGGAAUCGCUAGUAAUCGCAGAUCAGCACGCUGCGGUGAAUACGUUCCCGGGUCUUGUACACACCG